UGGCGUCCUCUACAAGUCCUGUGGCCCAAUGGCGACGUCUCUCCUACCAAGGGAGGAUGCUCUGUGCAGGCUCCAAAAUUGGGGCAGUAAACCCCAGUUGGUGAUUCCCAGGAAGGCACCUGGGCGAGGCGCUGUCCAAUGCUUCCCCCAAACAUCCACAAAGCCCUGCAAGAGUUGCCCAGGAGGCCCCCAGAGGGUACUACCCCAGGGAAGCCUCCUCCCAAGGCAGAAGGAGUUCCGUGUCAACCUCGCUGCUGGCGAUCCGCAGAUGGGCGUUCAUGGUCAGAUGGGCGUUCAUGGUCAGAUGGGGGUGCUCAUGGCUUUUGGAAUCUGGAUGUGGAGCUGGAGGCGGUGGGGGUGAUGAGGGAGGGAGCACUGUGGGUACCACAUCAUUUGUUUCCCUUGACUCUGGCGUCACAAACACAGCUUCUUGGAAUCUCAUGCCUGUUACUGGCUGUGUGAUCUGGAGCAACUGGCUUCUGCUCUCUGAGCCUUUAUUUCCCACAUCUGCAAAGUGGUGCACAGUAAUACCGACGUUCCUGGCUCUGUGUAAGGAGCCAUGAGAGUGUAUUUAAAGGGCCCAGCACCCAGCUGCUCUCAGUAGAUGCUCAAGAGACAGUAACAACCCUGUCAUUAUAUGAGGUUCAAUGCAACUCAUCUGAUUCCCCUUCCAGUGGCUGGAGAACAUCCCACCUUCUGAGCCUUGGGGAGAAGCAGAGUGUGCCCUUUCUCUGCCCACUGGAGAAGCUGAAACAACAAAAACUCCCUUCCCUGGCCUCCCUGCAGUAAGUCAAAGAUGGUGUCGAAAAUGGUGAAAUCAAGAACUAGUGCUUAGAAGUAUGGAGAUUUAAAAACAGAAGAAACACCUCCCAAAGUUGCAAGUGGUCGCCUGUCCCAGAGAGCUGCUGAGAUGAUGUGGGGAGGCGGCAGCUGAGUUUUGUGGUGAGAAAGUGGAGUUCGAAGAUGUCAUCAGCCCAGGUCACACAGAUGGUGGAGACCAGUGUGGAGCCCGGGAGUGGGCUGAGCAGAGCAUCUGGACUUUGAGCUUCCAUCAGACCCCGAGAUAGUCACCUGUCCUGGCUGCCUGGUGACCCUGGUGUGCUAACUUGGCACUUAUCUUGCUCUAUGGAGGCCCCUGGGCCCCCUGAACACCAGGUGGGUGCCUUCAGCCAGCCCCAUACUGACCUGUGAAGCCCAGGUAUUGCUGGCCAACCCACCCCACUCACAGACAGAAGCAGUUCUCCAUCUUUUGGCUUUAGCAGAUCUGCUUCAUUUCUCCUCCCCACAAAGCCUGGACUUUGUUCUGGGGGUAUCCCUGUUUGCAGUGAAGCUUUUUCACUCAGUGCUCAAUCUGAUCCCAACUCCACCCCACAUCUCUGACUGCAUAGACCUUUGUGACUGCCUUGACCAGUAGAGUAUGGCAGAAGAUGCUCUGUAACUUCCCAGGCUAGAUCUAGAAAAUGCCAUGCAUUUCUGCCUUGCUCUCCUGGGACAUCCACUCUUAGAACCCAGCUGCCACGCUAAAAAGAACUCACAGACCACGUGGAGUGGAGCAGACGGGUCAGUGUCCCAGGUGGCAGCCCGUGUCGGCCUCAGACCUGCACGUGAGGAUGCCCACCAGAGGGUUCCUGCCACCACCGUCAAGUCACCCCAGCCUUCAUCUUCCAGCCGGCGCCUCAGGCAUUAUGGGCAGAGGUAAACUGUCUCCAUGAUGCCCUUUCCAAAUUUCUGACCCACAGAAUCCAUGAUUAUAAUAAAAUGGCUGUUUUAUGUGCUCAA